rnacentral:rRNA from 1 species
AGAACGAACGCUGGCGGCAUGCCUAACACAUGCAAGUCGAACGAGACCUUCGGGUCUAGUGGCGCACGGGUGCGUAACGCGUGGGAAUCUGCCCUUGGGUUCGGAAUAACAGCGAGAAAUUGCUGCUAAUACCGGAUGAUGACGUAAGCCCAAAGAUUUAUCGCCCAAGGAUGAGCCCGCGUAGGAUUAGCUUGUUGGUGAGGUAAGAGCUCACCAAGGCGACGAUCCUUAGCUGGUCUGAGAGGAUGAUCAGCCGUACACUGGGACUGGACGACCGACGGCCCAGACCUCCGUAACGGGAGGCCAGCGUAGGUGGGGUAAUAGUUGGAACAAGUGGGACGAAAGGCCUAGACUCC